CAUCCUGACUCUAGGCUCCUUUACUCUAUCCAUUAUGCUACCUAGAUGCCCUGAAAUUGGAAGAAGUCGCUAAUGUUAGUGCUUUGUCCUUCUAUAAGAGAGAAUCAAUAACAUCACAGGAUAUCAUAUCACAGGCAAGACAAAACUGACGAUGACUUGGGAUGGUCUGAUAAUGAUGAUCUUGGCAUCUUUGAUGUCUGACCAGGCUCUAAGCCCUCCACACUACCUGCUUCAGCUGCCUUCCUGACUGCUGGAACAAAUUGUUCUCAUCUACCCAUUCACCAGGAGAAAUCUUCACCUGCUUGGGACAGGGGCCUUCCUAAGAAGCAAUAACUUGUGUUGUACUUGAAGCAGUUAUGCUGACAUGGCAAAGAAGCAUCUGCACCCAAUAGCAAGUUGUUUAUGUGGCCCAC
rnacentral:lncRNA from 1 species